GAAGGUAUAGCUAAGUGGUAGAGUAUGUGUCUCUCACAUACAAGGUUGUGGAUUCUAGUCUCAGUACCGUCA
rnacentral:tRNA from 1 species